GGUACUGUCCUAUAUCAUCUGUCGUCCCGUCACUGCACUGUUUUCUGAUUCACCCUGACUCUCACAACUCUGACAAUUCAGAUCCCUUCUUUCCUGGGCUUUGAUGAUCAGGAAAGACUGUACUGAAUUUAUUACCCUAUGCUACUUGUCCAGAACUAUACAAUCUUCAUUUAAAAUAUGAAAAGAACAAAGAGAACAUAUGGAAAAGCCAUAAAGAAAGUAAAGUGUCUAGAUAGCAAAAUAAGAACCCCUAUAAGCAGUAACCAAAUAUAUGUUAACUUACACAUUAAAUGUACAAGGUAUACAGAGGAUUUGAGCAUUUUAUGAAAAAUAACAAUAUUAGUCAGCAGUUCAGGGACAAUUGUCAAAACAGGGAAGAAAAUAAAUAAUUUUGAAUGUAGGCAUAUUAUUGAAAAAAUAUUGUCUUACAUAUUCCUAGUUUGAAAAAAACAAAGGUAUAUAUCUCACGUUGUGAAGUAAUUCCUUUGAUAUGAACUCAGAGAGAAUCACACCAGUACACAUUAUAAUAGAACUGACAAAAGCUGACUACUAAUCUGAGAUAGAGUGAGAAAUAUAAGUUUCUUAGAGCAGGAAGAGAAAUCUAUGAAUUUACACUCACUUCCGAGAAGGGGAAACGUCUAACACAUAGCAUGUCCUCUCUUCUUCUCAGUUUCCUUGGUCCAGAGUUAGGAUAAAGUAAGGGAAAAUGUAGUACUUACCAAGUACUA
rnacentral:lncRNA from 1 species